UGUGGUGCUUUAUUUAUCAAGAAGCAUGAAUCACAUAGCAUGUAAAGUGUUGGAUAUAAAAACCAGAAGACAGACAUGACUCUCUCACAGUUACCAGCUGUGGACAAAUGCUGACAUGUGGGGAGAUGACCCUUCCCUUCUGCUCCCCUUUGUGGCCAUGGCUGCUGGAAAUGUCCAGGGAGCUGCAGCUUCCUAGAAGCCUUCAGCUCCCGAGUCCUGACACCACGGGACAUGAAGAGGACUCUUAGCAAGCAUAUCAGAAUCACUCAUCUGCAGGGGCGAAUCUCUGCCCUGGCCCUUUGCCCACUACAGCCCUGCACUCCCCGGGGUGGCCAGGGAAAACUCUGCUGUACACCAUGGCACAUUGGGCAGACAUGGUGGAUGUUUCCUCUCGUAGAGGGAGGAAAGGAGGCCAUCAGAGUGAGGCAGGAGGAAAAGCAAGUAAGAUCAGUGAUGGGCAAGAGGCUUGCUAGCGUGGACAGGAAGAGGGUGGCUUCAUAGCUUCUCUUCUAUAAGAGGAGCCUGCUAGAUAUGACACCAAGGGACUCUCCACGGGUCUCCAGUGUGUUUAUCCUGCUCAUCUCUGUGUGCCAUGAGUUCCCCUCCUGGACACCUCCUCCAGGGAGCCCUGGUCCUGGCAGCUGGGGUGGGCAGUGUAGGAAGGCCUUUCUGUGGUUACUAGGUACUGACGGCUUGGUCUGCCACAGGACCUCCUUGGUAAAUCAUGUCAACACAAGAAACAGAUGUUAAUUGUCACCUGCAGAACCUGACCCAGCAAAUGACAAACACACACUUGUCUAGCAGAAGCAGAGACUGGACAGCUGGCCAGACCCUAUUACAGCUCAGGGAUGCACCCUGAGCCCAUGCAGGGCUGCCUGGCCCAAGGUUUGAAUGCAUCUGUGUUGAAAACUGGUCUCUCCACUCUGCCCUCUGGUACCUAAGGCAAAUAGGGAAAGAAGGGGGUGUCCACUCUGUCUUUCCAGGGCCAACAGCUGGGGUGCUGGCUUGAGGUCUCCUCCGGCUCCACUGAGUCAGGGACCCACCCUGCUGCUCUACAGUAAGACGCAGCUGCACUGGCUACCAGGCUGGGUUGCUGCCUCCUGGCCAGUGGGCUCAACUUACAGGUCUUGGCCUGCUAGAGGGAGCAGGGGCAGCAGUAGGAAGUCACUUCCCCAGGACACAGCUGCCCUUAGGUGACCUGGAAUCAUCACAAUAUGGGACAGGUGGCUUGGAGAGGCCUGGGGUGCUCAUUACUUCUCAGCAUAUUGUAAAUGGACCCCUUUUGUUCUCUGGGCAAUGAUUAAGGCCACCCUGUUGAAAUGAACUGUGUACAAGAACACAUCACUAAGUAAAACCCAAGGCUUUAGAGAGGAUGAAAAAGAAAUUCUUCAUCAAGUUCUUCUCCCUCUGCUAAAAUCUGAAAUCUGCUGAAUCUAAUUUGUACAGUCAAGGGGAGUGAGCCUCAGCCUCCAAGGUAGCCGCCACUCAGGCAGGAGGCAGGACAGGGUGGGGUCAUGAAGGGCUGGUAGCUUUGCAAAUUGCAAACUGCAGGGUCCCUUGGAACUGCCUCUCCUUGGAAGCCUGCAGUGGCAACCACACUGCCCUCCAAGGAUGAUGAGCCUGCCAGACAGUCAGCCUUCACCGACAGGGAUAUGCCUGCCUGGCAACCACUGCAGGCCAUGUCUACCCUUGGAAGUGCACGCCCUCCUGACACCUAGAAGGCAGUCACUCCAGGGAACAGCAGAAGCUUUAUAAGAUCAGAGAAUUUUUGGAAUUAAUUGUACCCUCACAAGGAUUUCAAAUAAUUUGGAAAUAAAAAUUUUGGUCUACAUCCCAUGAACAUGAAUACAUUUAUAAAACAGCCCAUUGUUGAUCUGAGGUCAUUGAUUUAAAAUAUAAUUUGGUGAAUUAUAGGGAGGAAGUGAGGGAGGGAUAAGGACAGAAUUAGCCUGAAUCAUAUUUGGAUUGGUUUUAUACAAACACAGUAUUUGUGGUUGUAUCUCAACACUAUCCAGCAAAUAUGAAGAUGCUUGAAGGGAAAGAGCAGAAUUUUAAAUUCACUUUAGAAUUAAACAUCAAUAAGACUCUUACCACCUCUUCUGACCAAAUUCAGGAAUGAAAAAGGGGUAACUAAAAAAGGUCCCUGGAAACCGGCUUCCCUUCCACACUCCUCAGCCGGUGCCGGUGGCCAUCUGCUAUCUCAGCCACACUUGAUGACACCCUGUUCUUGUCUUGCACAUAUGUCUGAGGCAGGACCAUCUGAUUCUGACUGGGGCUAACAGAAAUCAGGCAGAGCUUGAUUAAGAAUGGAGCAGAGGCAGAGCCCCUCCAAAGCAGUGGGCCAGGGUGAGCAGCCCUUGGCCCUCGCUACGCACCGUGAGCAAAGCCUUGGAGG